rnacentral:rRNA from 1 species
CCACGGGGGGCAGCAGUGGGGGAUAUUGGACAAUGGGGGGAACCCUGAUCCAGCGACGCCGCGUGAGUGAAGAAGUAUUUCGGUAUGUAAAGCUCUGUCAGCAGGGGAGAAAGUAAUGACGGUACCUGAACAAGAAGCCCCGGGUAACUCCGUGCCAGCAGCCGCGGUAAUACGUAGGGGGCAAGCGUUAUCCGGACUUGAUGGGCGUAAAGGGAGCGUAGACGGUUAAGUAAGUCUGGUGUGAAAGGCCGGGGCCCAACCCCGGGACUGCUCUCGAAACUAUUUAACUUGAGUGCAGGAGAGGUAAGUUGAAUUCCGAGUGUAGCGGUGAAAUGCGUAGAUAUUAGGAGGAACACCAGUGGCGAAGGCGGCUUACUGGACUGUAACUGACGUUGAGGCUCGAAAGCGUGGGGAGCAAACAGGAUUAGAUACCCGGGUAGUC